rnacentral:lncRNA from 1 species
UUUUUUUUUUUUUUAGGUAGAUUCCUUGGGAUCUUCUAUGUAGACCAUCAUGACAGUUGCAAAUAGAGCUAAUUUUAUUUCUUCCUUCCUAAUCUGUAUGCCUCUGAUUUCUUUUUCUUGCUUUACUGUACUGGCUAGACUUCUAGAACCAUGUUGACUAGACAUGAUGAGAGCAGAUGUCCCAGUUUCUGAUGUUAGGGUAACCCAUUCAGUCUCUCACCACUAAGAAUGAUAUUAGCUAUGGGUUUCUGCAGAUCCCUUUAUUGGGCUGAAGACGCUCUUUUUUGCUAUAGUCCUGGGAGGUUUUUUUUUUUUUUUUAAUUUAAAUAAGUGCAGCUUCUAAAUAAUAUGAUGCUGUAAUUAUAUGCCAUCUCAUUAAAACUUUUCAAAUUCAUUUUUAGAUACGGUUCAAAUAUACUCACAUAAAAUUUAACAUUUAACUAUUUAUAAAUGCACAGUUAUAUUAAUCAUAUUCACAUUGUUGUGCAACCAUCCCCACCAUCCAUCUCCAGGACUUUCUCUAUCUUCCCAAACUGAAACUCUGUCCACAUGAAAUACUGACUCUCCCUCCCCUCCGGCAGCCCCCGCCCCACCAUCUCCUUCCUGUCUCUGUGGAUCUGACUCCUCUAGGGACCUCCUGGGAGUGGAAUCAGACAGUCUUUGUCCUUCUCUGCCUGGCUUCUCUCACUGAGCAUCACGUCCUCAAGGUUGAUCCACGUUGUAGCAGGUGUCAGAAUCUCCUUCCUUUUUUAUUAUGCCGUCUUAUUUUUAGUCAUCUCUAAAACCUCAAACUAUUUCUCACCCACCUGUUGACAACUUUCCUGUCAUUUGGCUCCUGGCAACUCCCUGUCUUCCAGAGUUGUCCACUAUGGAGCCCCUCACCAUGUGUGAUUUGAAAUUUAAAUUGGCUAAACUGAAAUUAAGUUCAAUUUUCAGGACUUCAGCCACACCUCUCUCAAUACUCAAUAGGCACAUGUGGUUGGUGGCGACUGAACUGGAUGGCGCCACAUAUGCUGUCAUUACAGAAAGUUCUAUCAGGUUGAGCUGCCCUGGAUGUUUCCAUGAAAAAUCAGGGAAAAAAAAAAAAAAGAAAAAAAAAAAAACAACCCACAACACAAAAAACAGGGCACAGAUAAUUCUUCCUCCUCCUAUCUACUUAGAGAUCCAGCCCUAAAAUGGACCCAGAUGUACCCUGAAUGGAUAACGCCUAAAGGCUGGCUCAUGUCCAGAGUCCCAAGAUGCCCCAGCCCCCAGGCAGGCAGCUUUCAUCUGCUGAAUUUUUACUGUGUUAAGAGCUUCGUGACACCAUAGAUGAAAUCAACUGAUUGUUGAGGUUAUAAACUGGGGCCCAGCUCGGAGAGUCUACAUCCCAAAGCUGAUGUCUAUUUAAUUUAUUUAUUUACUAUGCUUUUUAGGGCUGCACCCACAGCAUGGGGAAGUUCCCAGGCUAGGGGUUGAAUCAGAGCUACAUCCACUGGCCUACACCACAGCCACAGCAAUGCGGGAUCCAAGCUGCAUCUGCGAUCAACCCACUGAUCGAGGCCAGGGAUCGAACCCACGUCCUCAUGGAUACUAGGCGUAUUCAUUUCCACUGCGCCACAACGGGAACUCACUGAUGUCCAUUUAAAGAAAUUGUCUGCCUAGGACAGAGAUUCUUAACUGGGGUGAUCCUGCCUCCUAAGAUGAUGUUUGGGGACACCUGUAUUUGUCACCACUGGGGGGCUCCUGGCAUCGAGGGCGUGGGGGCAGGGAGGCUGCUUCAUGCCCCACAGAACCCAGAACAGCCCCACAGAGAAUGACCCCAUCCAUGUCAGCAGAGGGGGAGAAACCCUGUUCUAGAUCCAUCCAUUCUCAGUGGGGGCAAAAAUUGGUUUUUGGUGGGGGGGAUGAAGGGGGCUAAAAAUUUUUGUUCUUUUUAUGUAUAUACACAUAUAGAUACAGUAUAUAAAUAGAUAUAUACUAUAGCUGUGCUAUUAAAACUCCAUGGGGUGAGUGAUUAGGGAGAAAACUGUCUAAAACAGCUCUUUAGAGGAGGCAAUAAUGAAGAAAAAGGUUCUUGUACAAUUUUAAAGGGUUGUCAAAAGAGAAAGAAGACUAUGCAAUAGAAACCACAGGUGACCCGACAGGUCUAACAUAUUUACAUUAUGGGAAGUCUGCUGACUCUGGCUAUGUGUCCUCAUGCAAGUCAUUUGACAUCUCUGAGCCUCUAUUUUUCUCAUCCAUAUACUGGAGCCGAACUGCACCACCGUUUACUUCUCUCCUUUGAUCACUCGGCAAAUUGAUGACUGAGCACUUUGUGGGUGCCACAUGCCUCGGGGAACAAGGCAGCAACCACGAGGACAAAAUUCCCUGCCCUCACGGCACUGACCUCCUAAUGGGGGAGCGUCAGGUAAUGAACAAUAAGCAAACAAACCAGGGCUAUAAUUUCAGGCUGUGUCAGGUGCAAGGGAGGCCAUACAACCCAGAUAUGUGAAUGGCAGCCCCUGCGGGAUGAGGGGCUGCGAUGAGCACCUAGGAGGGUUGACAAGCCCGUGCCAUAUGAAAUGGUAUACCUUUCAACAGUUAAUACUUAGUCAUUCCUUUGACUAUGGUAGGCUGCAAGUUACACCUCCAAUGACUCAUUUAAUCUUUGAAACUUCUCCAAAAGGGACAUGUGAUCAUCACCCCCAUUUUUAAGAUGGGGAAACUGAGGUACGAAGAGAGGGGACGACAUAUUCAAACUCACACAGCACCAGGUGGUAGCGAUGAGCCUGGGAUCAAUACACAGACAGCCUGAGGCCUCACUUUUGGGUCUUGUGCUUUUGACUAGGAGGGGUCUGGUGGGUCCUUGGAGGAGGGGGCUCAGUUCCCCUCCAACUCCAGGAUCCCUUUCUUGUGAAAGGUUUGGAUUGAUCACCGGUGUUUGGACCCUGUUGUCUGACCGUCAGCUAAAGCCCCCAGGUGGGUCUCCCCACUACUCUGUUUCUGCCAAAGAUCCCUUCUGG